rnacentral:rRNA from 1 species
GGAGUUAGCCGGUGCUUCUUCUGUGAGUGAUGUCCUUCCUGCCGGUUAUUGACCCGCAGGCCUUCUUCCUCACUGAAAGUGCUUUACAACCCGAAGGCCUUCUUCACACACGCGGCAUGGCUGGAUCAGGGUUGCCCCCAUUGUCCAAUAUUCCCCACUGCUGCCUCCCGUAGGAGUCUGGGCCGUGUCUCAGUCCCAGUGUGGCUGAUCAUCCUCUCAGACCAGCUACGGAUCGUCGCCUUGGUGAGCCGUUACCUCACCAACCAGCUAAUCCGACAUAGGCUCAUCCGAUAGCGCGAGGCCCGAAGGUCCCCCGCUUUCCCCCGUAGGGCGUAUGCGGUAUUAGCCUGGGUUUCCCCAGGUUAUCCCCCACUACCCGGGCAGAUUCCUAUGCAUUACUCACCCGUCCGCCGCUCGCCACCAGGAGCAGCUCCCGUCGCUGCCGCUCGACUUGCAUGUGUUAGGUCCGUCGCCGCCACGCGUUCAACUCUGAGCCGAGGAUACAACUACUCGA